rnacentral:rRNA from 1 species
UACGAAGGGGGCUAGCGUUGUUCGGAUUUACUGGGCGUAAAGCGCACGUAGGCGGAUUGUUAAGUCAGGGGUGAAAUCCUGGAGCUCAACUCCAGAACUGCCUUUGAUACUGGCAAUCUUGAGUCCGGAAGAGGUGAGUGGAACUCCUAGUGUAGAGGUGGAAUUCGUAGAUAUUAGGAAGAACACCAGUGGCGAAGGCGGCCCUG